CCAAGGAGUCUAACAUGUAUGCGAGUCUUUGGGAGUGAUAACCCUAUAGGCGAAAUUAAAGUAAAGGCAACCUCGGUUGCCUAGGCGGGAUCCCGGCGACUCUGUUUCGUCGGGCGCACCGCCGGCCCGUCCAACGACCGCUUUGCCGGCCGGGCGGAGCUAGAGCAUGCACGUUGGUACCCGAAAGAUGGUGAACUAUGCCCGGGCAGGACGAGGCCAGAGGAAACUCUGGUGGAAGUCCGUAGCGAUUCUGACGUGCAAAUCGAUCGUCGGACCUGGGUAUAGGGGCGAAAGACUAAUCGAACCAUCUA
rnacentral:rRNA from 1 species